AUGGCUCAGAACGAACGCUGGCGGCGCGUUUAAGCAUGCAAGUCGAGCGGCAAGGGCCUUCGGGCCCCUAGAGCGGCGGACGGGUGAGUAACACGUGGACAAUCUGCCCCCCGGCCCGGGAUAGCCCAGGGAAACCUGGAUUAAUACCGGAUGAGACGGGACCCGCGAUGGCGGGAUCCGGGAAAGGCGCUGCGGCGCCGCCGGGGGAUGAGUCUGCGUCCCAUUAGCUAGACGGCGGGGUAACGGCCCACCGUGGCGACGAUGGGUAGCCGGCCUGAGAGGGUGGACGGCCACAUUGGAACUGAGACACGGUCCAGACUCCUACGGGAGGCAGCAGCUAAGAAUCUUCCGCAAUGGGCGAAAGCCUGACGGAGCGACGGCCCGCGUGAACGAAGAAGGCCGUGAGGUUGUAAAGUUCUUUUCGGGAGGGGGAACAACCGUGGCAGGGAAUGGCCGCGGGAUGACGUGAAUCCCGGAAUAAGCCCCGGCUAACUACGUGCCAGCAGCGGC
rnacentral:rRNA from 1 species